rnacentral:misc_RNA from 1 species
GAAGGGAGCAGGAGUAUUUUCUAAAAUUGAUAUCAGAUCAGGGUAUCAUUAAUUGAGGGUGAAGGAUGCAGAUGUACCAAAGACUGCAUUCAGGACCCAGUAUGAGCAUUAUGUGUUCCUAGUGAUGCCUUUUGGCCUAACAAAUACAUUAGCAGCAUUCAUAGACCUUAUGAACCGUAUCUUCCAUCCAUACCUAGAUCGGUUCGUAGUGGCCUUUAUUAAUGAUAUUUUGGUAUAUUCCAAGACCAGGGAAGAACAU